rnacentral:rRNA from 1 species
AUUGAACGCUGGCGGCAGGCCUAACACAUGCAAGUCGAGCGGAUGAAGGGAGCUUGCUCCUGGAUUCAGCGGCGGACGGGUGAGUAAUGCCUAGGAAUCUGCCUGGUAGUGGGGGAUAACGUCCGGAAACGGGCGCUAAUACCGCAUACGUCCUGAGGGAGAAAGUGGGGAUCUUCGGACCUCACGCUAUCAGAUGAGCCUAGGUCGGAUUAGCUAGUUGGUGGGGUAAAGGCCUACCAAGGCGACGAUCCGUAACUGGUCUGAGAGGAUGAUCAGUCACACUGGAACUGAGACACGGUCCAGACUCCUACGGGAGGCAGCAGUGGGGAAUAUUGGACAAUGGGCGAAAGCCUGAUCCAGCCAUGCCGCGUGUGUGAAGAAGGUCUUCGGAUUGUAAAGCACUUUAAGUUGGGAGGAAGGGCAGUAAGUUAAUACCUUGCUGUUUUGACGUUACCAACAGAAUAGGCACCGGCUAACUUCGUG